CCGCGGUAAUACGGAGGGUGCAAGCGUUAAUCGGAAUUACUGGGCGUAAAGCGCACGCAGGCGGUCUGUCAAGUCGGAUGUGAAAUCCCCGGGCUCAACCUGGGAACUGCAUUCGAAACUGGCAGGCUUGAGUCUUGUAGAGGGGGGUAGAAUUCCAGGUGUAGCGGUGAAAUGCGUAGAGAUCUGGAGGAAUACCGGUGGCGAAGGCGGCCCCCUGGACAAAGACUGACGCUCAGGUGCGAAAGCGUGGGGAGCAAACAGGAUUAGAUACCCUGGUAGUCCACGCCGUAAACGAUGUCUACUUGGAGGUUGUGCCCUUGAGGCGUGGCUUCCGGAGCUAACGCGUUAAGUAGACCGCCUGGGGAGUACGGCCGCAAGGUUAAAACUCAAAUGAAUUGACGGGGGCCCGCACAAGCGGUGGAGCAUGUGGUUUAAUUCGAUGCAACGCGAAGAACC
rnacentral:rRNA from 3 species